UUAAGCGACUAAGCGUACACGGUGGAUGCCCUGGCAGUCAGAGGCGAUGAAGGACGUGCUAAUCUGCGAAAAGCGUCGGUAAGGUGAUAUGAACCGUUAUAACCGGCGAUGUCCGAAUGGGGAAACCCAGUGUGAUUCGUCACACUAUCGUUAACUGAAUACAUAGGUUAACGAGGCGAACCGGGGGAACUGAAACAUCUAAGUACCCCGAGGAAAAGAAAUCAACCGAGAUUCCCCCAGUAGCGGCGAGCGAACGGGGAGCAGCCCAGAGUCUGAAUCAGCUUGUGUGUUAGUGGAACGGUCUGGAAAGUCCGACGGUACAGGGUGAUAGUCCCGUACACCAAAAUGCACAGGCUGUGAACUCGAAGAGUAGGGCGGGACACGUGGUAUCCUGUCUGAAUAUGGGGGGACCAUCCUCCAAGGCUAAAUACUCCUGACUGACCGAUAGUGAACCAGUACCGUGAGGGAAAGGCGAAAAGAACCCCGGCGAGGGGAGUGAAAAAGAACCUGAAACCGUGUACGUACAAGCAGUGGGAGCACCUUCGGGUGUGACUGCGUACCUUUUGUAUAAUGGGUCAGCGACUUAUAUUCUGUAGCAAGGUUAACCGUAUAGGGGAGCCGCAGGGAAACCGAGUCUUAACUGGGCGUUAAGUUGCAGGGUAUAGACCCGAAACCCGGUGAUCUAGCCAUGGGCAGGUUGAAGGUUGGGUAACACUAACUGGAGGACCGAACCGACUAAUGUUGAAAAAUUAGCGGAUGACUUGUGGCUGGGGGUGAAAGGCCAAUCAAACCGGGAGAUAGCUGGUUCUCCCCGAAAGCUAUUUAGGUAGCGCCUCGUGAACUCAUCUUCGGGGGUAGAGCACUGUUUCGGCUAGGGGGUCAUCCCGACUUACCAACCCGAUGCAAACUACGAAUACCGAAGAAUGUUAUCACGGGAGACACACGGCGGGUGCUAACGUCCGUCGUGAAGAGGGAAACAACCCAGACCGCCAGCUAAGGUCCCAAAGUCAUGGUUAAGUGGGAAACGAUGUGGGAAGGCACAGACAGCCAGGAUGUUGGCUUAGAAGCAGCCAUCAUUUAAAGAAAGCGUAAUAGCUCACUGGUCGAGUCGGCCUGCGCGGAAGAUGUAACGGGGCUAAACCAUGCACCGAAGCUGCGGCAGCGACACUAUGUGUUGUUGGGUAGGGGAGCGUUCUGUAAGCCUGCGAAGGUGACCUGUGAGGGUUGCUGGAGGUAUCAGAAGUGCGAAUGCUGACAUAAGUAACGAUAAAGCGGGUGAAAAGCCCGCUCGCCGGAAGACCAAGGGUUCCUGUCCAACGUUAAUCGGGGCAGGGUGAGUCGACCCCUAAGGCGAGGCCGAAAGGCGUAGUCGAUGGGAAACAGGUUAAUAUUCCUGUACUUGGUGUUACUGCGAAGGGGGGACGGAGAAGGCUAUGUUAGCCGGGCGACGGUUGUCCCGGUUUAAGCAUGUAGGCUGGUUGUCCAGGCAAAUCCGGAUAAUCAAGGCUGAGGUGUGAUGACGAGGCACUACGGUGCUGAAGUAACAAAUGCCCUGCUUCCAGGAAAAGCCUCUAAGCAUCAGGUAACAUUAAAUCGUACCCCAAACCGACACAGGUGGUCAGGUAGAGAAUACCAAGGCGCUUGAGAGAACUCGGGUGAAGGAACUAGGCAAAAUGGUGCCGUAACUUCGGGAGAAGGCACGCUGGUGUGUAGGUGAAGUCCCUGCGGAUGGAGCUGAGACCAGUCGAAGAUACCAGCUGGCUGCAACUGUUUAUUAAAAACACAGCACUGUGCAAACACGAAAGUGGACGUAUACGGUGUGACGCCUGCCCGGUGCCGGAAGGUUAAUUGAUGGGGUUAUCCGUAAGGAGAAGCUCUUGAUCGAAGCCCCGGUAAACGGCGGCCGUAACUAUAACGGUCCUAAGGUAGCGAAAUUCCUUGUCGGGUAAGUUCCGACCUGCACGAAUGGCGUAAUGAUGGCCAGGCUGUCUCCACCCGAGACUCAGUGAAAUUGAACUCGCUGUGAAGAUGCAGUGUACCCGCGGCAAGACGGAAAGACCCCGUGAACCUUUACUAUAGCUUGACACUGAACAUUGAGCCUUGAUGUGUAGGAUAGGUGGGAGGCUUUGAAGCGUGGACGCCAGUCUGCGUGGAGCCAACCUUGAAAUACCACCCUUUAAUGUUUGAUGUUCUAACGUUGGCCCCUUACCGGGGUUGCGGACAGUGUCUGGUGGGUAGUUUGACUGGGGCGGUCUCCUCCUAAAGCGUAACGGAGGAGCACGAAGGUUAGCUAAUCCUGGUCGGACAUCAGGAGGUUAGUGCAAUGGCAUAAGCUAGCUUGACUGCGAGCGUGACGGCGCGAGCAGGUGCGAAAGCAGGUCAUAGUGAUCCGGUGGUUCUGAAUGGAAGGGCCAUCGCUCAACGGAUAAAAGGUACUCCGGGGAUAACAGGCUGAUACCGCCCAAGAGUUCAUAUCGACGGCGGUGUUUGGCACCUCGAUGUCGGCUCAUCACAUCCUGGGGCUGAAGUAGGUCCCAAGGGUAUGGCUGUUCGCCAUUUAAAGUGGUACGCGAGCUGGGUUUAGAACGUCGUGAGACAGUUCGGUCCCUAUCUGCCGUGGGCGCUGGAGAAUUGAGGGGGGCUGCUCCUAGUACGAGAGGACCGGAGUGGACGCAUCACUGGUGUUCGGGUUGUCAUGCCAAUGGCACUGCCCGGUAGCUAAAUGCGGAAGAGAUAAGUGCUGAAAGCAUCUAAGCACGAAACUUGCCCCGAGAUGAGUUCUCCCUGAGACUUUAAGUCUCCUGAAGGAACGUUGAAGACGACGACGUUGAUAGGCCGGGUGUGUAAGCGCAGCGAUGCGUUGAGCUAACCGGUACUAAUGAACCGUGAGGCUUAACCUU
rnacentral:rRNA from 1 species